rnacentral:rRNA from 1 species
AUAUUUGUUGGGGAGCACUGGUCCACCCUAGUGGUGCGUACUUGGUGCUUCUUUGACAUCUUACUGGAGAAAGUACGUGCGCUUCGCUGCGUGUGUGCAUGAACCAGAACUUUUACUUUGAGGAAAUGAGAGUGUUUCAAGCAGGCCUUUGCCAUGAAUACGUUAGCAUGGAAUAAUAACAUAGGACCUUGAGUCGUUGUUGUUGGUUGACGACACAAGGUAAUAAAAAUAGGGAUAGUUGGGGGCAUUCGUAUUACAAUGUCAGAGGUGAAAUUCUUGGAUUAUUGUACGACGGACUACUGCGAAAGCAUUUGCCAAGGAUGUUUUUUUUAAUCAAGAACGAAAGUUAGGGGAUCGAAGACGAUCAGAUACCGUCGUAGUCCUGACCAUAAACUAUGCCGACUAGAGAUUGGAGGAUGUUCAUUUUAGUCUCCUUCAGCACCUUAUGAGAAAUCAAAGUCUUUGGGUUCCGGGGGGAGUAUGGUCGCAAGGCUGAAACUUAAAGGAAUUGACGGAAGGGCACCACCAGGAGUGGAGCCUGCGGCUUAAUUUGACUCAACACGGGGAAACUUACCAGGUCCAGACAUAGGAAGGAUUGACAGAUUGAUAGCUCUUUCUUGAUACUAUGGGUGGUGGUGCAUGGCCGUUCUUAGUUGGUGGAGUGAUUUGUCUGGUUAAUUCCGAUAACGAUCGAGACCUUAACCUGCUAAAUAGUUUUCCCGAUCUUCGGAUCGGGUUACAACUUCUUAGAGGGACUCUCUACGUGGAGUAGCGGGAAGUGUGGGGCAAUAACAGGUCUGUGAUGCCCUUAGAUGUUCUGGGCUGCACGCGCGCUACACUGAUGCGU